rnacentral:rRNA from 1 species
GUGUCAGCAGCCGCGGUAAUACGUAGGCAGCAAGCGUUGUUCGGAGUUACUGGGCGUAAAGGGUGUGUAGGCGGUCCCUUAAGUUUGUCGUGAAAUCUCCCGGCUCAACUGGGAGGGUGCGGCGAAUACUGAGGGGCUAGAGUGCGGGAGAGGAAAGUGGAAUUCCUGGUGUAGCGGUGAAAUGCGUAGAUAUCAGGAGGAACACCGGUGGUGUAAACGGCUUUCUGGACCGUAACUGACGCUGAGACACGAAAGCGUGGGUAGCAAACAGGAUUAGAUACCCGUGUAGUCC